AGUAAUGUACGGGGAUCUGCCCGAUAGAGGGGGAUAACUACUGGAAACGGUGGCUAAUACCGCAUAAUGUCUACGGACCAAAGCAGGGGCUCUUCGGACCUUGCACUAUCGGAUGAACCCAUAUGGGAUUAGCUAGUAGGUGGGGUAAAGGCUCACCUAGGCGACGAUCUCUAGCUGGUCUGAGAGGAUGAUCAGCCACACUGGGACUGAGACACGGCCCAG
rnacentral:rRNA from 1 species